rnacentral:rRNA from 1 species
CGCUGGCGGCGUGCUUAACACAUGCAAGUCGAACGGGAUCCCUGGCAGCUUGCUGCCNGGGUGANAGUGGCGAACGGGUGAGUAUGCGUGACCGACCUGCCCCAUGCACCGGAAUAGCUCCUGGAAACGGGUGGUAAUGCCGGAUGUUCCACAUGAGCGCAUGCGAGUGUGGGAAAGGCUUUUUGCGGCAUGGNAUGGGGUCNCGUCCUAUCAGCUUGUUGGUGGGGUAACGGCCUACCAAGGCGUUGACGGGUAGCCGGCCUGANAGGGCGACCGGCCACAUUGGGACUGAGAUACGGCCCANACUCCUACGGGAGGCAGCAGUGGGGAAUAUUGCACAAUGGGCGCAAGCCUGAUGCANCGACNCCGCGUGCGGGAUGGAGGCCUUCGGGUUGUAAACCGCUUUUGUUCAAGGGCAAAGGCACGGUUUCGGCCGUGUUGAGUGGAUUGUUCNAAUAAGCACCGGCUACUACGUGCCAGCAGCCGCGG